rnacentral:rRNA from 1 species
ACUCAAAUGAAUUGACGGGGGCCCGCACAAGCGGCGGAGCAUGUGGCUUAAUUCGAUGCAACGCGAAGAACCUUACCUAGGCUUGACAUGCUAGUUAAAGCGUGUGAAAGCACGUGUCCGCAAGGGGCUAGCACAGGUGCUGCAUGGCUGUCGUCAGCUCGUGCCGUGAGGUGUUGGCUUAAGUGCCGCAACGAGCGCAACCCCUGCUCUUAGUUGCCAGCGGGUAAUGCCGGGGACUCUAAGAGGACUGCCGGGGACAACUCGGAGGAAGGUGGGGAUGACGUCAAGUCAGCAUGGCCCUUAUGCCUAGGGCUGCACACAUGCUACAUUGCGCGCUACAGAGGGCUGCGAUACCGCGAGGUGGAGCGAAUCCCAAAAAAGCGCGCCUGGUUCGGAUUGGGGUCUGCAACUCGACCCCAUGAAGGCGGAGUCGCUAGUAAUCGCAGAUCAGCAAUGCUGCGGUGAAUACGUUCCCGGGCCUUGCACACACCGCCCGU